AGGUAUGCUUAGGGAGGAGCUUGCGUCACAUUAGUUAGUUGGUGGGGUAAAGGCCUACCAAGACUAUGAUGUGUAGCCGGGCUGAGAGGUUGAACGGCCACAUUGGGACUGAGACACGGCCCAAACUCCUACGGGAGGCAGCAGUAGGGAAUUUUCGGCAAUGGAGGAAACUCUGACCGAGCAACGCCGCGUGAACGAUGAAGUAUUUCGGUACGUAAAGUUCUUUUAUUAGGGAAGAAUAAAUGAUGGAAAAAUCAUUCUGACGGUACCUAAUGAAUAAGCCCCGGCUAACUAUGUGCCAGCAGCCGCGGUAAUACAUAGGGGGCAAGCGUUAUCCGGAAUUAUUGGGCGUAAAGGGUGCGUAGGCGGUUAAAUAAGUUUAUGGUCUAAGUGCAAUGCUCAACAUUGUGAUGCUAUAAAAACUGUUUAGCUAGAGUAAGAUAGAGGCAAGUGGAAUUCCAUGUGUAGUGGUAAAAUGCGUAAAUAUAUGGAGGAACACCAGUAGCGAAGGCGGCUUGCUGGGUCUUUACUGACGCUGAGGCACGAAAGCGUGGGGAGCAAACAGGAUUAGAUACCCUGGUAGUCCACGCCGUAAACGAUGAGUACUAAACGUUGGGUAAAACCAGUGUUGAAGUUAACACAUUAAGUACUCCGCCUGAGUAGUACGUACGCAAGUAUGAAACUUAAAGGAAUUGACGGGACUCCGCACAAGCGGUGGAUCAUGUUGUUUAAUUCGAAGGUACCCGAAAAACCUCACCAGGUCUUGACAUGCUUCUGCAAAGCUGUAGAAACACAGUGGAGGUUAUCAGUUGCACAGGUGGUGCAUGGUUGUCGUCAGCUCGUGUCGUGAGAUGUUGGGUUAAGUCCCGCAACGAGCGCAACCCUUAUUGUUAGUUACCAGCACGUAAUGGUGGGGACUUUAGCAAGACUGCCAGUGAUAAAUUGGAGGAAGGUGGGGACGACGUCAAAUCAUCAUGCCCCUUAUGACCUGGGCUACAAACGUGAUACAAUGGCUGUUACAAAGGGUAGCUGAAGCGCAAGUUUUUGGCGAAUCUCAAAAAAACAGUCUCAGUUCGGAUUGAAGUCUGCAACUCGACUUCAUGAAGUUGGAAUCGCUAGUA
rnacentral:rRNA from 1 species